AUAUGCUUAAUUUUAUUAGUUUCGAAUUCGCAGCAUAUCACCACUUUAUUUUUUUCAAGAUCUAGCUAGGUACAAUACUUGAAAUAUGGAUGUCAGGAUGACCGGAAAUUGUGUUUUAGAUUAGUUUUGUUGUCACGGAUUUGACAUUGGUUCUACCUUACAAUACAUGUUUAUUAGAAUCACUGUUAAACCGCUUAGUUCAAGAUGAGCUUUAGAGGAAGCUUUGGAAAUAUCAAAUUAGAUCAAGCUGCUGAAUCAACUGAUAAUAAAUUUCAGGAUUAU